rnacentral:rRNA from 1 species
CCUACGGGUGGCAGCAGUGAGGAAUAUUGGUCAAUGGCCGAGAGGCUGAACCAGCCAAGUCGCGUGAGGGAAGACGGCCCUACGGGUUGUAAACCUCUUUUGUCGGGGAGCAAAGCGAACCACGUGUGGUUCAUUGAGAGUACCCGAAUAAAAAGCAUCGGCGAACUCCGUGCCAGCAGCCGCGGUAAUACGGAGGAUGCGAGCGUUAUCCGGAUUUAUUGGGUUGAAAGGGUGCGAAGGCGGAGGUGCAAGUCAGCGGUCAAAUUGCGGGGCUCAACCCCGUACUGCCGUUGAAACUGCAUCCCUUGAGUGCGCGAGAAGUCUGCGGAAUGCGUGGUGUAGCGGUGAAAUGCAUAGAUAGCACGCAGAACUCCGAUGGCGAAGGCAGCAUACCGGCGCGCAACUGACGCUCAUGCACGAAAGCGUGGGUAUCGAACAGGAUUAGAUACCCUGGUAGUC